CCUACGGGGUGCAGCAGUGGGGAAUAUUGGACAAUGGGCGAAAGCCUGAUCCAGCCAUGCCGCGUGUGUGAAGAAGGCCUUCGGGUUGUAAAGCACUUUCAGUGGGGAAGAAAGCCUUGGGGCUAAUACCCUCGAGGAAGGACAUCACCCACAGAAGAAGCACCGGCUAACUCCGUGCCAGCAGCCGCGGUAAUACGGAGGGUGCGAGCGUUAAUCGGAAUUACUGGGCGUAAAGCGCGCGUAGGUGGUCUGAUAAGCCGGUUGUGAAAGCCCCGGGCUCAACCUGGGAACGGCAUCCGGAACUGUCAGGCUAGAGUGCAGGAGAGGAAGGUAGAAUUCCCGGUGUAGCGGUGAAAUGCGUAGAGAUCGGGAGGAAUACCAGUGGCGAAGGCGGCCUUCUGGACUGACACUGACGCUGAGGUGCGAAAGCGUGGGUAGCAAACAGGAUUAGAUACCCCGGUAGUC
rnacentral:rRNA from 1 species